rnacentral:rRNA from 1 species
UACGUAGGGGGCAAGCGUUGUCCGGAAUUAUUGGGCGUAAAGCGCGUGUAGGCGGCUCGGUAAGUCUGCUGUGAAAGUCCAGGGCUCAACCCUGGAAUGCCGGUGGAUACUGUCGAGCUCGAGUCCGGAAGAGGCGAGUGGAAUUCCUGGUGUAGCGGUGAAAUGCGCAGAUAUCAGGAGGAACACCAAUGGCGAAGGCAGCUCGCUGGGACGGUACUGACGCUGAGACGCGAAAGCGUGGGGGAGCAAACAGG